rnacentral:lncRNA from 1 species
UCUCCACGGUUCGGAUCCAGGGCCCCAGCCUUCCUCUCUCCAUAAAAGGAGGGGGAGUCAGUCUUUGGGGAAGGAGGGGGGCGGGUUUGGGGCACUCACCUGGCGGCUGCCACGCGCCCCCGCCCAGGAUCCGAGGCCUGGGGCAUCUGAAUGAGGACCCUCCACCCACAUUUCCACUUGGGAGCGAGCUCCAGUCGGGGAAAGGGCCUGCAGCCCGCCUCGUCCCCACCCUGGGACCCCGCGCCCCCCAGUCCCCCACUCCCGCGCCGAAGGCAGGGCCGCGCCCUGAGCCGGGAAGUCGAGGGGAUGGAAGGGAAAGGAGCCACCGGUGAGGGUCCCCCGGGUUCUGAGCCUCCCGCGUCGGGAUCCGUGGGGCGCACAGAGCGCCACCUCCGGCCGAGGCGCAGCUCAGAGCGCGAUGCGGGGGAGGAACGCGCGCGGAGGCCGAGGUCUGAGCGUGGCUAGACGGCUCCCACGCCGAGAAAGGGCGGGUGCGCCUGGGCUGGAUGGAUUUCGCCUCCCUAGACCAGGAGGGAUUGGACCCUGACUACAGGUCCAGGUGCUCGUCAGUGCCCUGCCAGGGGGUCUACGCGUCCUGGUACCGGGUCCAGCGGGGUGGCGUGCUGUGCAGACCCCGAGGCUAGACGGCCUAGGCCCCUGGAGCCCAGGAGACGCUUCCUUGGGUGAGCAGCGGAGAAUCCCGCCCGGCCCAGCCGUCACCCCCAACCCUGUCGAUUAAACCCCUGCCCCCGUCGCGGUCGCCCUCCCUCCAGACAAAGGCCGUUAAGGCGCAGCCCCGCGGGCGGUCUUUCAUCCCCAGCUAGGCCAGCUCUAGCAUUUCAAAGGCCGAAUCCGGAGAGCGCUUCGGGGGCUCUCCCCUUCCCCCAAAUAUUUGGGGAGCGACGCCUCUCCCUCCGCUCCCAGUGGGUCGCGUCUACACGCGCCCUUCCACACACCUGCAGGCCCCCUCCCCACGUCUCUCCCUUCCGUUGGCCGCAGCCCCACACCACGACCCCCGCGGUCAAGCAUGCCCUCUGGGUGGUCAGGACCAAGCGGGACCGGGACAGAACCAGGGGAGCCUUGGAAACGUGGAGGAGCCCCUUAAAGCCAGGCCUUGUCCCUCCAGGGGGAACUUGCGGCUUGGGAGGGGACACCCACUGCAUGGCUUCUGGAAAGAGCCGGACUCGCAGGGCCAGGACGCAGGCCGGACCCCGGCCUCAUUCUUCGGCCAGUUAUCCCGGAGUGGCGCGCAUCCUGUCUUCCUGGGCCUCGGACUGCUCGCGCGCAGAGGGGGCCCGAGGACACCUCUGUGGGGUUAGAGGACUCGGUAAGACGGUGUGGAAGGCAAGGAGGAAGGUCGCGUUGUAUUGGGGAUGGGGUACCCGUCCCUCCCAGCUUGAGGGAUCCUGGGGGUCCUCGCCGCCUCUGAGGGCCUAGAUGGCUGCUUCCCUCGGCUCCCCUGCCCGGCCUGGAGCUACGGGUGCGCCCAGCUAGAGUUUAGGGCCACCUGGGGACGUGCAAGGGGCGCUGGAGCGAGGCGGGGGCUGGGGCGGGGCGUGGGUGCUUCACCCGCGGGGGACGCAGAGCUUAGGCGAAAGCGGUGCAGGCAUCUCUCUAAUCGCCGGCCGCUAUUAAAAAUAAAACCGCGACCCGUCGCCAUGGCGACCACAACAACAGCGGCCGCGCGAGGGAGGCGAAAACUUGUGCAGCCGCGCGACAGCCGCCUUCUGGGGAGACUCGGGGCACGACGCACCCGGCGUGGGACUGGGACCCCCCUGCCCGGCCCCGCCACAUUCUCCGCCGGAUCCCCGGAAGACACAAGGAGACGUGGACCCCCACAGGCUUUUUUGGGGGGAUUGGGCGUUGAAACCGCAGGGCUGACUUAACCAAGAGGUCACCGACUUGGAUAAAAAACCCACGCCCGCGCGGACCCCCCUCCCCGGCCUUCGUUUCCAUUCAAACUCCCAGCGUCCUCAUUGCAGCCCCUGGGGAGGGGGACGGAGGGACGAGGUGGGUUUCAGGUGCUCGGCCCAGGAGGGGACGGUGCGACCCGGGCCCCGCCGGCGGGUUUUGCGCGCGGAGGCUGCGGCACCUGCCCCGCCCGCCCUGCCGCGAUCCUUGCAGACGGGGGCGGUCACAUGCUUCUUUCUGGCCAGGAAUCGAGUUUCACUUCCAGCCGCUAUUAGUCGGUUCACACAGUUCACUGCAAACAUUUGAUAAUGAGGCUAAAUAUACUCCCGCGUCGGAGGAGGCGUGGGCGUCCCCGCCCAGGCCCGGGAGACAGAGGCGCUGACCCCGGGACAGAGCCUGGCUUUGUGCGGGAGGCAGACGCGCCCCGCGCGCCGCCCCCGAAACAUUCGCACCCCAUGCUGAGGCGCGCGUCUGGGAGUCCGUGGGCGCCCCGAGGUGAGCCCGGGGCCCCUGGCGGAAGCAGCGGGGAGCUCCCGGCGGGUGCGGGGAGGUGCUGGUGGGAAGCAAGGUGCACCUGGCGGCCUGGGAUGUCCGGUCGCCCCCGGAGCCGGUGCAUCCGGCCUCUCCCGGCGCGCCCCGACGUGCCCGCGGGCUCAUAAUUACCGUGAGUCAGGUGCCCCAAAUAGGCCGAGCGAGGGGGGCCGUCGCGCAGCAGGGGCGGGUGGCCGGACGUCUGCCCGGGACUGGUUGCCUCCCGCCCCUCCCCAAGACCCUGGCACCCAGGGAGGGCGGGAAAGGCCUUGGCCAUUCCUCUGGGUAGGGGACUGGAGAGGGGAAGAAACUUUCGCCGAGUCCAGCGCUGCCCCCUCAUACCCAUCCCCACCCAGGCUGCGUGUCCGGGGCCCCUCCGGGGCUUGGCACCAGCAGGCACGCAGCGAUCGCCGUCGUUGUUAUUUAGUAGUAGUAGUAACGGCUGACAUUUACAGCGACGUCGAUGGCGCCAGGUGCCAAGCUCUUUCCUUGUAUAAUUUCAUGGACACUCACGCAUCAACUCUAAGCGAAGACUUGGAGCGGGGCUCAGCACCCCAGGGGUACCUCUGCAACCUCGGUAAAUAUAGACUAUCCUCAAUUCGCAGGGGCAUUUGUACGUGGGGUGUACAGGCAGGAACAGGAAAGACGCUGUGGCCACCCAGGAGUAGGGGCGGCAGCCAACACCCCCUGGAUCCCCAGUUCCAAGGUGCAGGGAGGGGGGCAGAGGCCAGUUCCCUCCGCUCUCUGCCCCUUGACCUUGGCCUUGGUGAGCUCUGUCCCUAGACUGCCCUGGGUGUCUGUUCCCUCAUCUGAAAAGCGUGAGGCCCACAGCCGUCACUGCACACAGCUGCCGUCACUGCACACAGCUGCCUCCACUGUCGGGAAGCCUCCCUCCUGCCCACCUGCCCAGGAAAAGCUGCGCUAGCGUGCCCUGGGCAAGCGCCCUGCUGGCCACCUGCCUGCACCUGGGUUGGGGGUGGGGGGACCAGCUGAGCACCCAAAUCCUGGCCUCUGCCCCCAGCGCCAGAGCAGAUUUCAGAACAAUUUGUAAUGACGAAACCCCACGUUUCCCUUUAUCUCUGGGCAAGGCUUUCUUCGUCCUAGGCAAUUAAUCCAAAAGCAACACCAGCCGAGUGGGCUGGACUCCUUGAAGAUCAAAACUGCCCAGCGCAGGCAUUAAUUAAGUCAUUAUCUCAGGCCCCCAGCGACUAGGGAUCAGGCCUUUCCAGUUCACACUCUCCAGAAAGGGAGAUAACUGCCCCGCCAGCAGGGUGGGAAGGCUCUCUCUCCAUGUUGUUUUAACUCCCUAUUAAAUCAUUUUAUUUUAAAUACACAAACAGAAAUGAAGUUGAAAAUAGCACAGGAGCCCACUAUCACUGUGUGAACAUUUUGUGAAUGAAGACAUGUAUGAAAGGAUGUUUGGAGGCUUCAAGAAACGAAAGCCGAGAGUCUAGCUAGACCAGAGCCAUCCAGCCCAGGAGCGAUGGCCACGUGUGGCCGCUGGACACGAGAGACGUGGCCAGUCCAAACUGUGCAGUGCGGGGCAGUGGAAGCCGUUGGAGGGCCUCAGGCAGGAACACAAGGUGUCGUGGCAGAAAGGAAGAAGGGGCCGGGCACGGUGGCCCACACCCGUCAUCCCAGCACUUUGGGAGGGAGGCCAAGGCAGGAGGAUCGCUUCAAUCCAGGAGUUCAAGAUCAGCCUGGGCAACACAGCAAGACCCCGUCUCUACUAAAACCCUAAAACUUAGCCAGGCUUGGUGGCAUGUGCCUAAGGUCCCAGGUCCUCGGGAGACUAAGGCAGGAGGAUUGCUUAAGCCCAAGAGUUUGAGGCUGCAGUGAACUAUUAUCACACCACUGCACUCAGCCUGGGUGACAGAGUGACUCUGUCUCAAAACUAAAUAAAUAAACAAUAAUUGU